rnacentral:rRNA from 1 species
GACGAACGCUGGCGGCGUGCUAAUACAUGCAAGUAGAACGCUGAAGGAGGAGCUUGCUUCUCGGAUGAGUUGCGAACGGGUGAGUAACGCGUAGGUAACUGCCUGGUAGCGGGGGAUAACUAUUGGAAACGAUAGCUAAUACCGCAUAAGAGUAGAUGUUGCAUGACAUUUGCUUAAAAGGUGCAAUUGCAUCACUACCAGAUGGACCUGCGUUGUAUUAGCUAGUUGGUGGGGUAACGGCUCACCAAGGCGACGAUACAUAGCCGACCUGAGAGGGUGAUCGGCCACACUGGGACUGAGACACGGCCCAGACUCCUACGGGAGGCAGCAGUAGGGAAUCUUCGGCAAUGGACGGAAGUCUGACCGAGCAACGCCGCGUGAGUGAAGAAGGUUUUCGGAUCGUAAAGCUCUGUUGUAAGAGAAGAACGAGUGUGAGAGUGGAAAGUUCACACUGUGACGGUAUCUUACCAGAAAGGGACGGCUAACUACGUGCCAGCAGCCGCGGUAAUACGUAGGUGGCAAGCGUUAUCCGGAUUUAUUGGGCGUAAAGAGAGUGCAGGCGGUUUUCUAAGUCUGAUGUGAAAGCCUUCGGCUUAACCGGAGAAGUGCAUCGGAAACUGGAUAACUUGAGUGCAGAAGAGGGUAGUGGAACUCCAUGUGUAGCGGUGGAAUGCGUAGAUAUAUGGAAGAACACCAGUGGCGAAGGCGGCUACCUGGUCUGCAACUGACGCUGAGACUCGAAAGCAUGGGUAGCGAACAGG